rfam:Cicer arietinum chromosome Ca6, whole genome shotgun sequence.
UAAUGAAGGAAUCAUGGUUGUGUGUACGGAAAUUAAUCUCUUUAGGUUCACAUGUCUGUUCUCUCUGAUCCUUGAUUUGAUUUGAGGACCUGGUUAAAACCUACAUCU